rnacentral:rRNA from 1 species
CCUACGGGAGGCAGCAGUGGGGAAUAUUGCACAAUGGGGGAAACCCUGAUGCAGCGACGCCGCGUGGGUGAAGAAGUAUUUCGGUAUGUAAAGCUCUAUCAGCAGGGAAGAAAAAUGACGGUACCUGACUAAAAAGCACCGGCUAAAUACGUGCCAGCAGCCGCGGUCAUACGUAUGGUGCAAGCGUUAUCCGGAUUUACUGGGUGUAAAGGGAGCGCAGGCGGGACGCUAAGCUUGAUGUGAAAAACCCCGGGCCAACCGCGGGAGUGCAAUAGAAACUGGCGAACUAGAGUACCGGAGGGGCAGGCGGAAUUCCUAGUGUAGCGGUGAAAUGCGUAGAUAUUAGGAAGAACACCAGUGGCGAAGGCGGCCUGCUGGACGGGGACUGACGCUGAGGCUCGAAAGCGUGGGGAGCAAACAGGAUUAGAUACCCUAGUAGUC